CCUACGGGAGGCAGCAGCGAGGAAUAUUGGUCAAUGGGCGCAAGCCUGAACCAGCCAAGUCGCGUGAGGGAAGACGGCCCUACGGGUUGUAAACCUCUUUUGCCGGGGAGCAAGCCUGAGCACGUGUGCCCAGUCGGAGAGUACCCGGAGAAAAAGCAUGGGCUAACUCCGUGCCAGCAGCCGCGGUAAUACGGAGGAUGCGAGCGUUAUCCGGAUUUAUUGGGUUUAAAGGGUGCGCAGGCGGGCUGUUAAGCCGGUGGUAAAAGUUCAGGGCUCAACCCUGUCUAGCCGUCGGCACUGGCAGUCUUUGGUGGGAGAGAAGUAUGCGGGAGGCGUGGUGUUGCGGGGGAAUGCA
rnacentral:rRNA from 1 species